UACGAAGGGGCUAGCGUUGCUCGGAAUCACUGGGCGUAAAGGGUGCGUAGGCGGGUUUUUAAGUCAGGGUGAAAUCCUGGAGCUCAACUCCAGAACUGCCUUGAUACUGAAGAUCUUGAGUUCGGAGAGGUGAGUGGAACUGCGAGUGUAGAGGUGAAAUUCGUAGAUAUUCGCAAGAACACCAGUGGCGAAGGCGGCUCACUGGCCCGAUACUGACGCUGAGCACGAAAGCGUGGGAGCA
rnacentral:rRNA from 1 species